ensembl:ncRNA T28B11.9 ncRNA
UAAUUAAGGGUCAUAUGGUAGAGAUGGUCGGUUAGGACUCAAAGACAGAACAAGCGAAAGAAUGUGAUCGUCUUAACCUGGUUGUUGGCGCGCGGCCAGUCAGCUGAGAUGAGGUGCCAGGAGGCGGCUAGCAUGGUCACAU